rnacentral:rRNA from 1 species
CCGCCCGUCACAUCACGAAAGUGGGUUGUACUAGAAGUCUGCAGGCUAACCCGCAAGGGAGGCAGCGGCCCCAAAGGUAUGACUCAUGAUUGGGGUG